rnacentral:rRNA from 1 species
GAUGAACGCUGGCGGCGUGCCUAAUACAUGCCAGUCGAGCGAACAGACGAGGAGCUUGCUCCUCUGACGUUAGCGGCGGACGGGUGAGUAACACGUGGAUAACCUACCUAUAAGACUGGGAUAACUUCGGGAGACCGGAGCUAAUACCGGAUAAUAUAUUGAACCGCAUGGUUCAAUAGUGAAUGACGGUUUUGCUGUCACUUAUAGAUGGAUCCGCGCCGCAUUAGCUAGUUGGUAAGGUAACGGCUUACCAAGGCGACGAUGCGUAGCCGACCUGAGAGGGUGAUCGGCCACACUGGAACUGAGACACGGUCCAGACUCCUACGGGAGGCAGCAGUAGGGAAUCUUCCGCAACGGGCGAAAGCCUGACGGAGCAACGCCGCGUGAGUGAUGAAGGUCUUCGGAUCGUAAAACUCUGUUAUUAGGGAAGAACAAAUGUGUAAGUAACUAUGCACGUCUUGACGGUACCUAAUCAGAAAGCCACGGCUAACUACGUG